GAUGAAGAACUUAGCGAAAUGCGAUACGUAAUGUGAAUUGCAGAAUUCAGUGAAUCAUCGAGUCUUUGAACGCACAUUGCGCCCCCUGGUAUUCCGGGGGGCAUGCCUGUCCGAGCGUCAUUGCUGCCCUCAAGCACGGCUUGUGUGUUGGGCCUCCGUCCUCCUCCCGGGGGACGGGCCCGAAAGGCAGCGGCGGCACCGCGUCCGGUCCUCGGGCGUAUGGGGCUUCGUCACCCGCUCUUGUAGGCCCGGCCGGCGCUUGCCGACACAUCAAUCUUUUUUCCAGGUUGACCUCGGAUCAGGUAGGGAUACCCGCUGAACUUAAGCAUAUCAAUAAGCGGAGGA
rnacentral:misc_RNA from 1 species